rnacentral:rRNA from 1 species
GAUGAACGCUAGCGGCAGGCUUAAUACAUGCAAGUCGAGGGACAGCACAGGUAGCAAUACUGGGUGGUAACCGGCAAACGGGUGCGGAACACGUACACAACCUUCCUUUAAGUGGGGGAUAGCCCAGAGAAAUUUGGAUUAAUACCCCGUAAUAUAGUUGAAUAGCAUCAUUUGAUUAUUAUAGCUACGGCGCUUAAUGAUGGGUGUGCGGCUGAUUAGAUAGUUGGCGGGGUAACGGCCCACCAAGUCUACGAUAAGUAGCUGAUGUGAGAGCAUGAUCAGCCACACGGGCACUGAGACACGGGCCCGACUCCUACGGGGGGCAGCAUUAAGGAAUAUUGGUCAAUGGACGCAAGUCUGAACCAGCCGUGCCGCGUGAAGGAUUAAGAUCCUCUGGAUUGUAAACUUCUUUUUUUGGGACGAAAAAGGUCCUUUCUAGGUCAACUGACGGUACCAGAUGAAUAAGCACCGGCUAACUCCGUGCCAGCCGCCGCGGUAACAC